rnacentral:lncRNA from 1 species
GCAGCAGCAGCAGCCAUCAGCAGGAGCAGCUGCCCAUGCUGUGGCAGACCCUUACUCUACCUCCUCCCUCAGAGAAGGUACAGCAGCAUGGAGAGCAUCCCUGAAAUGUUCCAAAUCACAGCCUGCAGGGACCUGGCUGGUGGAUCCAGGGCUUUUCUCUUCAGUCUGGAGCACAGAUCUGGGGUUCAUGAGGUUGGGAAUAGUGGCCUGCUACACCUUCUUCCCAGUCAGUGCCCUCAGCCUCAUGAUGGACCCUGGGGACCAAAAGCUGUUAAUUGAAUCCUCUUGAUUUGAGAGACUCAGAAGAAGAUUUGUCGCUUUGCAGUUGCAGUUUAAUGACAAGUGGAGCAGGGCGAGGCUCAGGAAAGGUGGGUUUUUUACUGGCUGGGUUUUUUACUGAUGCCUUUGCAGCACUGCCCUUCCAAGUUUUUAGGGUGUCUUUGCUUCGCAGCUUUCUCCUACCUCGAGAGUAACCCUUGGGAUGGCAGCUUGGUGUGGUGCGUGUGGGAGAUGUUGAAAGACAGGGAGAUGAAGGAACUUGUACUGAACACUCUGCUGGCUCUUGGCCUGAGACUCUGGGCCUGCUCAAGGCCUUGCCAAGUUCGUUUUCUCUGGGAGGAUACGCUGAUGAUGACAGCCAGCCUCAUGGAUCCUGUGAAUCUGUGGCUAUGGAGGGGACAAGGCCACCCAAGGUGUCUGAAGCCUCCAAAGCGUUUCCAGAAAGGCCCAAAAGAACUGGCUGUGUGUGAGAACUGAUUUGCACAGAGUGAGAAGCUUCUCUCCAGGUGAGGAAAACUUCUCUACAAAAGGUGCCCCCACAAAGCCUUGACAGUAUUUCCAGGACCCCAAACAGCCCAUCAGCUGGAUGGAUCAGUGCUGGAGCCAGUACUGGGGAUUCCUCUUUCUCCUUUUCUUCCUUCCUCUGCCUCUCCAAUUAAUCUCUCCCUUCCCUUUCACCCUACCCUGUUAUCCAAAUCCCUCUGCCCUGUGCUUACAUUGGGGUAUCA